AAUGAGCGAAGGCCUAGAAUGCAGGCCCGUGGACCUUCCACCUCGCCUCCCUCUCUCCACGGCCUCCUGCUUCUAAGGAUGAGCAAAUAAUCUCAGACUGAACCUUCUUUAAACACCAAGCAAGAAUCUCCAACGAGUCCUCAUUCCUCAUUCUUUCAUUCAUAGAAGGACUAUUUGUUGGGGGCCACCAUGUCCGAGAGCUCACAUCCAGAAGGAGCGGACAAUCAAUCCACAAAAUAAAGAAAAGCAGACAAGCAGAUAGCGAGGUCUGGGGAAAGACUCCAGAUAGUGUGAUUAAGCAACGCCCCAUGGAAGGAGGAUUUGAGAAGAAAGGAGAGAAGGUUAAAGAGUAAACUG
rnacentral:lncRNA from 10 species